rnacentral:rRNA from 1 species
UGGGGAAUAUUGCACAAUGGGGGAAACCCUGAUGCAGCAACGCCGCGUGCGGGAUGACGGCCUUCGGGUUGUAAACCGCUUUCAGCCAUGACGAAGCUUUUGUGACGGUAGGGGCAGAAGAAGCACCGGCUAACUACGUGCCAGCAGCCGCGGUGAUACGUAGGGUGCGAGCGUUGUCCGGAAUUAUUGGGCGUAAAGAGCUUGUAGGCGGUUUGUCGCGUCGAAAGUGUAAACUCAGUGCUUAACGCUGAGCCUGCUUUCGAUACGGGCUGACUAGAGGAAGGUAGGGGAGAAUGGAAUUCCCGGUGGAGCGGUGGAAUGCGCAGAUAUCGGGAGGAACACCAGUGGCGAAGGCGGUUCUCUGGACCUUUCCUGACGCUGAGAAGCGAAAGCGUGGGUAGCAAACAGG